rnacentral:rRNA from 1 species
AACGCUAGCUACAGGCUUAACACAUGCAAGUCGAGGGGAAACGACAUCGAAAGCUUGCUUUUGAUGGGCGUCGACCGGCGCACGGGUGAGUAACGCGUAUCCAACCUGCCCACCACUUGGGGAUAACCUUGCGAAAGUAAGACUAAUACCCGAUGAUAUCUCUAGAAGACAUCUGAAAGGGAUUAAAGAUUUAUCGGUGAUGGAUGGGGAUGCGUCUGAUUAGCUUGUUGGCGGGGUAACGGCCCACCAAGGCAACGAUCAGUAGGGGUUCUGAGAGGAAGGUCCCCCACAUUGGAACUGAGACACGGUCCAAACUCCUACGGGAGGCAGCAGUGAGGAAUAUUGGUCAAUGGGCGAGAGCCUGAACCAGCCAAGUAGCGUGCAGGACGACGGCCCUAUGGGUUGUAAACUGCUUUUAUAAGGGAAUAAAGUGAGUCUCGUGAGACUUUUUGCAUGUACCUUAUGAAUAAGGACCGGCUAAUUCCGUGCCAGCAGCCGCGGUAAUACGGAAGGUCCGGGCGUUAUCCGGAUUUAUUGGGUUUAAAGGGAGCGUAGGCCGGAGAUUAAGCGUGUUGUGAAAUGUAGACGCUCAACGUCUGCACUGCAGCGCGAACUGGUUUCCUUGAGUACGCACAAAGUGGGCGGAAUUCGUGGUGUAGCGGUGAAAUGCUUAGAUAUCACGAAGAACUCCGAUUG